AGAUUGAACGCUGGCGGCAUGCCUAACACAUGCAAGUCGAACGGGAGUAGCAAUACUCUAGUGGCGGACGGGUGAGGAAUACGUAGGAAUUUGCCCUUAAGUGGGGGAUAACCCGGGGAAACCCGGAUUAAUACCGCAUGACCUCGAAAGAGCAAAGUGGGGGAUCGCAAGACCUCACGCUUUUGGAGAAGCCUACGUCGGAUUAGCUAGUUGGUGAGGUAAUGGCUCACCAAGGCGACGAUCCGUAACUGGUCUGAGAGGAUGAUCAGUCACACCGGAACUGAGACACGGUCCGGACUCCUACGGGAGCAGCAGUGGGGAAUAUGGACAAGUGGGCGCAAGCCUGAUCCAGCAAUCGCCGCGUGUGUAGAAGAGGUCCGUUCGGGUAGUAAAGGCUAACGUUUAAGGUUAGGGUAAAGAAAAACGUCGACUACUAACACCAGUGAGUCUUGACGUACGACAGAA
rnacentral:rRNA from 1 species